rnacentral:tRNA from 1 species
GAGCUGGGGCUCAGUGGUAGAGUGCUCACCUCACCCGUAUGAGGCACUGGGUUCGAUCCUCAGCACCACA